GCGUAGGUAACCUGCCUUGUAGCGGGGGAGUAACUAUUGGAAACGAUAGCUAAUACCGCAUAACAAUGGAUGACACAUGUCAUUUAUUUUGUAAAGGGGCGAAUUGCUCCACUACAAGAUGGACCUGCGUUGUAUUAGCUAGUAGGUGAGGUAAUGGCUCACCUAGGCGACGAUACAUAGCCGACCUGAGAGGGUGAUCGGCCACACUGGGACUGAGACACGGCCCAGACUCCUACGGGAGGCAGCAUG
rnacentral:rRNA from 1 species